rnacentral:rRNA from 1 species
UGGGGAAUAUUGGACAAUGGGCGCAAGCCUGAUCCAGCAAUGCCGCGUGUGCGAAGAAGGCCUUCGGGUUGUAAAGCACUUUCAGUGGGGAAGAAAUUUUUAGAACUAAUAUUUCUAAAAUUUGACGUUACCCAAAGAAGAAGCACCGGCAAACUCUGUGCCAGCAGCCGCGGUAAUACAGAGGGUGCAAGCGUUAAUCGGAAUUACUGGGCGUAAAGAGCAUGUAGGCUGAUAUUUAAGUCGAUUGUGAAAUCCCCGAGCUUAACUUGGGAACUGCAUUCGAUACUGGAUAUCUCGAGUAUGGUAGAGGAAAGUGGAAUUCUCGGUGUAGCGGUGAAAUGCGUAGAUAUCGGGAGGAACACCAGUGGCGAAGGCGGCUUUCUGGACCAAUACUGACGCU